CGUUGCACCAGCCUGAGGCGCGCUGUGCCGCUGUGCGUUCUCCCGGGAAAGUUGUCCCUGGAUCACGGGACCCUGGCAGUGGCGUGCUUCACAGGCUCCUGGGAGGGGCAGUGUGGAUAGUGACCUGUGCUUGCAGGUCACUUGGUGGUGGCAGCAGCAGCCUUAGCGUCUCAUGGCCGUCUCUGGGGUUCGCGCUUUUAGCCGCGGCUCACGCCCGUCUCUGGAGCUCCUUUAAGCAGCGCUCUUAAUCCCUCUCCUCACACACCAGGAGACAAAGAGGCAAGAAAAAGUCUUUUGUCUCUUCGGCAGGUCCAGACAUUUUCCCGGACUCCCUCCCAGCUAGCCGUGGUGCCCUAACCCCUUUAGGCUGUGUUCACGCAGCCAACCCCAGUCCUCUCCCUGGGAUCCCACCGAAGCCCGAGCCUCAACUCCAGGUCCCGCCCGCCCCGGCGGGUGAGCAGACAAGCCUCUCAGACUGGGUCUGUCCUGGGUAUUGCAGCAUGUUUAGCAGCAUCCUGGACGCCAGUAGCCCUUCCCAGUUAUCUCCAUACACCGCCAAAUUCCAUUGCGAGAAAAACCACGCAGUUGAGAAUCACGAACUACGCGGAUUGACAGAGGGUCCCCAAGGCAUUAAGCCCAGCUGCCCACAACAACCUUCAGAUAAACCCUCAUGGCUCACUGGAGACCUGGAGACCACACUUCCAGAACCACGGCCUGGAUGGCGACACUGUGCAAGAGGAAACUUGCUUGAGUUCUCUCACUUCCAUCAGGAGGGUGAGUCAUGCCACAUACCAUGA